AGCUUUUCGAAUCCGUCCUGAGAUUUCUUCAAACAACAACCUAUUAGGGCUGAUCAGACUUCCAAGAUAAGUGAAGUU
rnacentral:pre_miRNA from 1 species